rnacentral:rRNA from 1 species
UACGUAGGGAGCAAGCGUUGUCCGGAUUUACUGGGUGUAAAGGGUGCGUAGGCGGCUUUGCAAGUCAGAUGUGAAAUCUAUGGGCUCAACCCAUAAACUGCAUUUGAAACUGUAGAGCUUGAGUGAAGUAGAGGCAGGUGGAAUUCCCCGUGUAGCGGUGAAAUGCGUAGAGAUGGGGAGGAACACCAGUGGCGAAGGCGGCCUGCUGGGCUUUAACUGACGCUGAGGCACGAAAGCGUGGGUAGCAAACAGG